CAGGCUUAGCACAUGCAAGUCGAGGGGCAGCAUUUUAGUUUGCUUGCAAACUGAAGAUGGCGACCGGCGCACGGGUGAGUAACACGUAUCCAACCUGCCGAUAACUCCGGAAUAGCCUUUCGAAAGAAAGAUUAAUACCGGAUAGCAUACGAAUAUCGCAUGAUAUUUUUAUUAAAGAAUUUCGGUUAUCGAUGGGGAUGCGUUCCAUUAGUUUGUUGGCGGGGUAACGGCCCACCAAGACAACGAUGGAUAGGGGUUCUGAGAGGAAGGUCCCCCACAUUGGAACUGAGACACGGUCCAAACUCCUACGGGAGGCAGCAGUGAGGAAUAUUGGUCAAUGGGCGAGAGCCUGAACCAGCCAAGUAGCGUGAAGGAUGAAGGCUCUAUGGGUCGUAAACUUCUUUUAUAUGGGAAUAAAGUUUUCCACGUGUGGAAUUUUGUAUGUACCAUAUGAAUAAGGAUCGGCUAACUCCGUGCCAGCAGCCGCGGUAAUACGGAGGAUCCGAGCGUUAUCCGGAUUUAUUGGGUUUAAAGGGAGCGUAGGUGGAUUGUUAAGUCAGUUGUGAAAGUUUGCGGCUCAACCGUAAAAUUGCAGUUGAAACUGGCAGUCUUGAGUACAGUAGAGGUGGGCGGAAUUCGUGGUGUAGCGGUGAAAUGCUUAGAUAUCACGAAGAACUCCGAUUGCGAAGGCAGCUCACUAGACUGUCACUGACACUGAUGCUCGAAAAUGUGGGUAUCAAACAGGAUUAGAUACCCUGGUAGUCCACACAGUAAACGAUGAAUACUCGCUGUUUGCGAUAUACAGUAAGCGGCCAAGCGAAAGCAUUAAGUAUUCCACCUGGGGAGUACGCCGGCAACGGUGAAACUCAAAGGAAUUGACGGGGGCCCGCACAAGCGGAGGAACAUGUGGUUUAAUUCGAUGAUACGCGAGGAACCUUACCCGGGCUUAAAUUGCAACAGAAUAUAUUGGAAACAGUAUAGCCGUAAGGCUGUUGUGAAGGUGCUGCAUGGUUGUCGUCAGCUCGUGCCGUGAGGUGUCGGCUUAAGUGCCAUAACGAGCGCAACCCUUAUCUUUAGUUACUAACAGGUGAUGCUGAGGACUCUAGAGAGACUGCCGUCGUAAGAUGUGAGGAAGGUGGGGAUGACGUCAAAUCAGCACGGCCCUUACGUCCGGGGCUACACACGUGUUACAAUGGGGGGUACAGAAGGCGGCUACCUGGUGACAGGAUGCUAAUCCCAAAAACCUCUCUCAGUUCGGAUCGAAGUCUGCAACCCGACUUCGUGAAGCUGGAUUCGCUAGUAAUCGCGCAUCAGCCAUGGCGCGGUGAAUACGUUCCCGGGCCUUGUACACACCGCCCGUCAAGCCAUGAAAGCCGGGGGUACCUGAAGUACGUAACCGCAAGGAGCGUCCUAGGGUAAAACUGGUAAUUGGGGC
rnacentral:rRNA from 1 species